GACGAACGCUGGCGGCGUGCUUAACACAUGCAAGUCGAACGGAAAGGCCCUGCUUUUGUGGGGUGCUCGAGUGGCGAACGGGUGAGUAACACGUGAGUAACCUGCCCUUGACUUUGGGAUAACUUCAGGAAACUGGGGCUAAUACCGGAUAGGAGCUCCUGCUGCAUGGUGGGGGUUGGAAAGUUUCGGCGGUUGGGGAUGGACUCGCGGCUUAUCAGCUUGUUGGUGGGGUAGUGGCUUACCAAGGCUUUGACGGGUAGCCGGCCUGGGAGGGUUAACGGCCACAUUGGGACUGAGAUACGGCCCAGACUCCAACGGGAGGCAGCAGUGGAGAAUAUUGCACAAUGGGCGGAAGCCUGAUGCAGCAACGCCGCGUGCGGGAUGACGGCCUUCGGGUUGUAAACAGCUUUCGCCUGUGACGAAGCGUGAGUGACGGUAAUGGGUAAAGAAGCACCGGCUAACUACGUG
rnacentral:rRNA from 1 species